GAAAAUAGUAUAACACUAAAACCUGCUGCCAGGCCACCCUUGCAGGCCUUACCCACUCGAGCCUUGUGCGAAUGUGAACACUGACAGUGAUGGAUGGAGAGGAUUGUAUCUGAGAGCUUCCAGCUGCUCCUCAAUUCCCCAACCACAGGAGUUUUUUCCAGAUGGCCAUGCAGUGGAGGGAACAUUCGGAAAGCACCGACUUAUCCUUAACAAGCAACAAUAAAAAGCCACUACCCCGUCAUGGACUGGAGAGAUGGCUCAAUGGGUAACUCGUGCACGAUUGAGGAUCUGAACUCAAGUCCUCAGAAGCCAUGAAAAGCCGGAUUCAAAAGCAUUCACAUCUGUAAUUCCAGAGGCUGUAUGGGGAGACAGGAGGCACAGACAGGACAGUCCCUGGAAGCCAGUGGGUCAGCUUGCCUGGUGUACGCAGGCCAAACAAGAGACGGCUGUCUUAAAACAGGAGCAGCCCUGAUGUUGCCCUCUGACCUCCACACACAUGUGCAUGCAUUAAAAAUAUGUAUUUUAUUUAGAAAUAAAAGUAUGCGUACUUG